rnacentral:rRNA from 1 species
CAGUAGCCGCGGUAAUACGAGGGGAGCUAGCGUUGUUCGGAAUUACUGGGCGUAAAGCGCGCGUAGGCGGCUUUUUAAGUCAGAGGUGAAAGCCCGGGGCUCAACCCCGGAAUUGCCUUUGAAACUGGAAAGCUAGAAUCUUGGAGAGGUCAGUGGAAUUCCGAGUGUAGAGGUGAAAUUCGUAGAUAUUCGGAAGAACACCAGUGGCGAAGGCGACUGACUGGACAAGUAUUGACGCUGAGGUGCGAAAGCGUGGGGAGCAAACAGGAUUAGAUACCCCGGUAGUCCCUGUCUCUUAUAC